rnacentral:lncRNA from 1 species
CUACUACAAAAGAAGAGUAACCGUCCUCUUUUCAGGUUCCAACUGCAAAAUAUGUACACAUCCUCUCUCAACUGCAAAGCUACUACAAACAAGAUGCCAUUCCUCAAUUUUUUAGUAGCAUGCAAAUCAUAUGUCACAUAACCUUCUCUCCCUCUUAUGUCUGAUGUGCUCAAAAGUGAACCACUAGGGUGCAAAUUGAUCGAUAUAAAAUGUUCUUGUUAGUAUAAAUAUAGGAGUAAAAUUGCAGCAUAAUUAUCUAACCAUCUUCUUUUGUUUAUUUAUUGGUGUGGCAAGUAAAAUUGUGUCACACACAAGGUUUCGAUGUGGUAGCACACGAGACAUAGAGAAAUAUACUAGCUAGUCUAAGAGAUCGAGCCCUAUGUCCAGUGUGGGAGGGAGAUUUUAUUUGAUAUGUCUGAUUGCUUGUAGUUUAGUUAGGGAUGUGUUACAAGAGGUCGGAGUAA